AUAGAACAUGUUCCUUUAACUCAGAGAAGUUUGUUAUUACCCACCUUCUAAAGCCUGUUUCUGUCAAUUCAUCAAAUUCAUUCUCCAUCCUGCUUUGCUCCCUUGCUGUUGAGCAGUCGUGAUAUUGUGGUGGGGGAGAGACGGGUCCCCCUGCCGCACAAAGCCUGCAAGGCCGAAAAAACUCUCAUUCCAGAGUUAGGCACCCAGAAACUCAUUGAGAGAGUGACCAGGAAUGAUCCAGCUCGGCAGGCCAAAGGGAAGCCAACAUUGCAGAAGCUGGUCUAAUUUUCCUGAGUAAAUAAAAGACGCAGCAGCUCCACUGAAUCUGUGACAGCCCAGCAGCAUUUCUGCAGGAAGUCAAAGGAAAGGCCGCUUCCCCAAGCAGCUACCUGAGAUCAAAACUACAUGAAUCCAAGAUGUGGGAAGAAACCAGCACAAGAAGAAUGAAACCAUCAAAAACAUCUUCCUCUUUCUUCCGUUGAAAUCAUGGCUCAAGUUCCAUCACAGAACUGAGUUCAUUUUGUCUUGCAUUAAAGGUAGUUGACUUUACCUGCUUCUCUCUCAUUUAAACUUUCUAAGGACAGAGACUACAUCUGAUUUAUCUUCACUCAAGAGUGCAUGACAGUUUCCAUUGUAUGAGUUAAACAUUGGUAAGAAUUCCCUUUACACAUAUAAUUCAAAAAUGAAAAAUUAUAUGGUACCAAGUGAAGUUAAAACUGUUAGGUAUCAUCAGAGUUAGUGUAAAAUCCAACUUAAGUACUCAACUUACUCUGAUUUAGCAUUUGCUGUGUUUAUGGUACUGGGAGAGGCAUGAGGAAUUUAAGCAAUGACUAAAACAGUUUCUCUGUGAAUCAAUAAACUUUAUAUAGAGAAAUAAAUCCCUAUCAGUGACCUCUGGACAAUAACAGUAGAAAGAACAAUUAGGCAAGAGCCUGCUUUUUAGGGAUAUAAAAUUAUUUGCCACAGUUCCAACCUGGUUCUCCCCAUCUCAGUAGACCAAGCUCACUUGUAACCCCAUCAACUCUAAUACAUGGUAUACUUCCACUGGGUUUUUGCCUAGGUAUACCUAGUAGAUUAGUGCACACUUCUCCCCAUUUCCCCAUUCCAGGUUCAACAGCAAUUUCUGCCCCACUCCAGGGUCAAAGAAGAAAGCAGUUCAGAUUAAAGUAAGCCAGCUGUAGCCCUAGUGUCAAAAAU